UCCCCUCCUCUGAUAAAACCAUGUACUCUAAUUGGUUGGUUCGACUUCAUGGGCUAAUAAUGAGAGAGAAUUUUAACUAUAAAUAUUUGAGCAGCAACAGCAGGACAUCACAUCCACUUCAAGAUUCCAAUUCUGAGAACACCUGCAGACUGAGCAGAAAGUCAUCACUGCCAUUGAAGAGAUGAAAAGGAGCGAGGAAACAAGUAUACCUGUAAAGGCAUCGAUUGAGACGAUGUAUAUGGGUGGUGGUAUGGCAUCGAAGGAAAACGGAGUUAGUGGGCACCUUGACUACAAACUGGGGAAAGCUCAAUUAGACCUUGGUGGUGAGUUGAUGGUGGAGGGCAGGUUGCCCAACGCCGGUGUUGCUGCUGGGAUAACUAACGAAGGAGUUAAAGCCAUGGCCACAGCUGAGCUCAUAGGUGCCUCUGUGUCCCACGGGAAGGCGACAGCCACAAUGCGUCUGGCAGCUGAUACAGGCUUUGGAGUUGGCAAGGAUGGGAUCGAGGCACAAUUUCUGGGUACAGGAUUCUCUAUCGGGAAGAAAACAUCCAUUUCUCUGUUUGGUUCCAAGUUUGAAUGGGACUUCAGCAAGUGACACACCACCACUCAGAGCCCAGAGUUCCACUUCUUUGGAGAUGUAUUAAUUUAGUUCUCUUAUAGUCUACAGACAAGGCUUCAGGGUCACAGAUGUGUUUGGUUUCUUUUAAACUUAAUGAAAACAUAUGUAUUGUAGUUAAUCAGUGGACUGUAUUUACAAUAUAUUAUCAACUCUA